GACGAACGCUGGCGGCGUGCUUAACACAUGCAAGUCGAACGGAAAGGGGCUGCUAGUGUGGGAUGCUCGAGUAGCGAACGGGUGAGUAACAGGUGAGUGGCCUGCCCUUGAGUUUGGGAAAACUUAAGGAAAGUGGGGAUAAUACCGGAUAGGAGCUCCUGAUGGGUGGUGGGGGUUGGAAAGCUUCGGCGGAUGGGGGUGGACUAGAGGCUUAUCAGCUUGUUGGUGGGGUAGAGGCUUACCAAGGGCUUGACGGGUAGCCGGCCGUCGAAGGGGAACGGCCACAUUGCUACUGCGAUACGCCCCAGACGCCUACGUUAGGCAGCAGUGGCGAAUAUUGCACAAUGGUCGGAAGCCUGAUGCAGCAACGCCGCGGUCGUGAUGACCGCCUUCGGGUUGUAAACCGCUUUCGCUUGAGACCAGGCGUUAGUGACGGUAACGUAUAAAGAAGCACCGGCUAACUACGUG
rnacentral:rRNA from 1 species